rnacentral:tRNA from 1 species
CAAUUUAAAGCUUAUAAAGUAAAGUAUUUCAUUUACAUUGAAAAGAAAUUUGUGCAAAUCAAUUUAAAUUGA